UACGUAGGGUGCAAGCGUUGUCCGGAAUUAUUGGGCGUAAAGAGCUCGUAGGCGGCUUGUCGCGUCGGCUGUGAAAACCUGGGGCUCAACCCCGGGCCUGCAGCCGAUACGGGCAAGCGUAGAAUUCGGUAGGGGAGACUGGAAUUCCUGGUGUAGCGGUGAAAUGCGUAGAUAUCGUAAGGAAGACCAGUGGCGAAGGCGGGUCUCUGGACAGUUCCGU
rnacentral:rRNA from 1 species